rnacentral:rRNA from 2 species
CGCUAUAAUGCAGUCGACGAACUCUGGUAUUGAUUGGUGCUUGCAUCAUGAUUUACAUUUGAGUGAGUGGCGAACUGGUGAGUAACACGUGGGAAACCUGCCCAGAAGCGGGGGAUAACACCUGGAAACAGAUGCUAAUACCGCAUAACAACUUGGACCGCAUGGUCCGAGUUUGAAAGAUGGCUUCGGCUAUCACUUUUGGAUGGUCCCGCGGCGUAUUAGCUAGAUGGUGGGGUAACGGCUCACCAUGGCAAUGAUACGUAGCCGACCUGAGAGGGUAAUCGGCCACAUUGGGACUGAGACACGGCCCAAACUCCUACGGGAGGCAGCAGUAGGGAAUCUUCCACAAUGGACGAAAGUCUGAUGGAGCAACGCCGCGUGAGUGAAGAAGGGUUUCGGCUCGUAAAACUCUGUUGUUAAAGAAGAACAUAUCUGAGAGUAACUGUUCAGGUAUUGACGGUAUUUAACCAGAAAGCCACGGCUAACUACGUGCCAGCAGCCGCGGUAAUACGUAGGUGGCAAGCGUUGUCCGGAUUUAUUGGGCGUAAAGCGAGCGCAGGCGGUUUUUUAAGUCUGAUGUGAAAGCCUUCGGCUCAACCGAAGAAGUGCAUCGGAAACUGGGAAACUUGAGUGCAGAAGAGGACAGUGGAACUCCAUGUGUAGCGGUGAAAUGCGUAGAUAUAUGGAAGAACACCAGUGGCGAAGGCGGCUGUCUGGUCUGUAACUGACGCUGAGGCUCGAAAGUAUGGGUAGCAAACAGGAUUAGAUACCCUGGUAGUCCAUACCGUAAACGAUGAAUGCUAAGUGUUGGAGGGUUUCCGCCCUUCAGUGCUGCAGCUAACGCAUUAAGCAUUCCGC